rnacentral:rRNA from 1 species
AUGAACGCUAGCUACAGGCUUAACACAUGCAAGUCGAGGGGCAGCAUGGUCUUAGCUUGCUAAGACUGAUGGCGACCGGCGCACGGGUGAGUAACACGUAUCCAACCUGCCGUCUACUCUUGGACAGCCUUCUGAAAGGAAGAUUAAUACAAGAUGGCAUCAUGAGUCCGCAUGUUCACAUGAUUAAAGGUAUUCCGGUAGACGAUGGGGAUGCGUUCCAUUAGAUAGUAGGCGGGGUAACGGCCCACCUAGUCUUCGAUGGAUAGGGGUUCUGAGAGGAAGGUCCCCCACAUUGGAACUGAGACACGGUCCAAACUCCUACGGGAGGCAGCAGUGAGGAAUAUUGGUCAAUGGGCGAGAGCCUGAACCAGCCAAGUAGCGUGAAGGAUGACUGCCCUAUGGGUUGUAAACUUCUUUUAUAAAGGAAUAAAGUCGGGUAUGUAUACCCGUUUGCAUGUACUUUAUGAAUAAGGAUCGGCUAACUCCGUGCCAGCAGCCGCGGUAAUACGGAGGAUCCGAGCGUUAUCCGGAUUUAUUGGGUUUAAAGGGAGCGUAGAUGGAUGUUUAAGUCAGUUGUGAAAGUUUGCGGCUCAACCGUAAAAUUGCAGUUGAUACUGGAUAUCUUGAGUGCAGUUGAGGCAGGCGGAAUUCGUGGUGUAGCGGUGAAAUGCUUAGAUAUCACGAAGAACUCCGAUUGCGAAGGCAGCCUGCUAAGCUGCAACUGACAUUGAGGCUCGAAAGUGUGGGUAUCAAACAGGAUUAGAUACCCUGGUAGUCCACACGGUAAACGAUGAAUACUCGCUGUUUGCGAUAUACGGCAAGCGGCCAAGCGAAAGCGUUAAGUAUUCCACCUGGGGAGUACGCCGGCAACGGUGAAACUCAAAGGAAUUGACGGGGGCCCGCACAAGCGGUGGAUUAUGUGGUUUAAUUCGAAGCAACGCGAAGAACCUUACCAGGGUUUGACAUCCUGCUAACGAAGUAGAGAUACAUUAGGUGCCCUUCGGGGAAAGCAGAGACAGGUGGUGCAUGGUUGUCGUCAGCUCGUGUCGUGAGAUGUUGGGUUAAGUCCCGCAACGAGCGCAACCCUUAUCCUUUGUUGCCAGCGCGUAAUGGCGGGAACUCAAAGGAGACUGCCGGUGAUAAACCGGAGGAAGGUGGGGAUGACGUCAAAUCAGCACGGCCCUUACGUCCGGGGCUACACACGUGUUACAAUGGGGGGUACAGAGGGCCGCUACCACGCGAGUGGAUGCCAAUCCCAAAAACCUCUCUCAGUUCGGACUGGAGUCUGCAACCCGACUCCACGAAGCUGGAUUCGCUAGUAAUCGCGCAUCAGCCACGGCGCGGUGAAUACGUUCCCGGGCCUUGUACACACCGCCCGUCAAGCCAUGGGAGCCGGGGGUACCUGAAGUGCGUAACCGCGAGGAGCGCCCUAGGGUAAAACUGGUGACUGGGGCU